rnacentral:rRNA from 1 species
CCUACGGGUGGCUGCAGUCGAGAAUCUUCGGCAAUGGGCGCAAGCCUGACCGAGCGACGCCGCGUGCGGGAUGAAGGCCUUCGGGUUGUAAACCGCUGUCGAGGGGGAGGAAAUGCAUGGGGGCACUCCCCUGUGUUUGACCUAUCUCUGGAGGAAGCUUGGGCUAAGUUCGUGCCAGCAGCCGCGGUAAGACGAACCAAGCAAACGUUGUUCGGAAUCACUGGGCUUAAAGGGCGCGUAGGCGGUUCGCCAAGUCCGGGGUGAAAUCUUUCGGCUCAACCGGAAAAGUGCCUUGGAAACUGGCGGGCUAGAAGGAGGUAGGGGUUGCGGGAACGACCAGUGGAGCGGUGAAAUGCGUUGAUAUUGGUCGGAACGCCGGUGGCGAAAGCGCGCAACUGGACCUUACUUGACGCUGAUGCGCGAAAGCCAGGGUAGCGA